rnacentral:rRNA from 1 species
CCUGUUUAACAAAAACAUCGUCUUUUGAAACACCCACAUAAAAGAUAAUGCCUGCCCAGUGAAAAUUUUAAACGGCCGCGUUAGCGUGAGCGUGCUAAGGUAGCGUAAUAAAUAGCCUUUUAAUUGGAGGCCAGUGAAUGGCAAGACUAGGAAUACCUGUACCCUUUAUGAAAAAAAAACUUUUCAUCUGAGUGAAAAGACUCAGAUAACAAAGGAAGACGAAAAGACCCCGCGGAACUUUACCUUUUCCAAUCUUAGCUGCCCACUAACACAAAAGACAAAAGGUUUGAUUGGGGCAAUCUCGGAACAAACCAAGCUUCCGAUCUCCCUUAAUAAACAUCCAUAACACGAUAAGGACAAAAAAGAAGUUA